rnacentral:lncRNA from 1 species
GCGGAAGGUCUUCUGCAGGCCGCCAGGGCCCGGGGCUCCUCGCCAGGCGCGCUGCGGUGCUCAGGGCCAGGGCGCGGUCCGCACGGAGCGGGCGCAUCGGGGGCUCCCGCGGGCCCGGGCGGGACCGCAGCCGUCUCCCGCAGCGGGAGGCGGCGCCGUCGCUCGUGGCUGCUGCAUCCCCCGGCCAGAUGAGCUUGGUGGCGGGGAGGGGGCGGCGGGCCGGCCGGAGAGCCCGGGACGGAGCCGAGCGCAGGGAUAAGAUGAGAACGAGGAGGUCGCUGCUAAGGACGUCCUCGGUGUGCUCCAGAUACAUGGCUUUUGGGUUGGGAGGUGCCCUGUUCUGAAGGACAGCAGACAAGGAACUGCUCCCGCUGCCUCCCUGGUGGAGACCUGGCCAUGUUGUGCCUUCCCCAAAGAAGAACCUUCUGUCUGGAAGAACAUGAGGCUACCAAUAUGCUUUACAACCCUUGUUGUGGGAUUACUCAAAGAAUUAAUCUACAUAUCACUAUGUAUAACAAACCAGCCUGGAAACAGCUUUCUGUGAUGGUGGAC